GCGUCCUCCAAUAACGCCCUAUCUCGCCGGAGGUACCACUACCGAACGAUAAGAUGAUGCUUUAUGCCAUCCCGCGGAGGGCGACGGGAUCACCCAGUUUGGCACUCGGCUAAUUAAAUGCACGUUUCCUAAACGGCGCCAAAAGCAUACCGCAUAGAGCGCGCUCUGUCUACGCACCGUUCCUACGGAUAACUGCACCCCAUCCCCUAACAUCCACUGAUAAGAACACGCGGGCACACCCAAUCCGCGUUUGCGAUUUGGAGCGCGCGCGUGUACGCGUGGGCCCUCGUUGCCAAAUUCCGCACCUUUGCUCCGCAAUAGGUCGUCAGUGUGCGCUCGAUGUUGACCGGGAAUUGACGGGCGUAUCGGUUGUUGCUCCUCCUGUUGGUGUGUUCCCCUGCUCUCGACUUUCGUCUUCCGUUCUCGUGAUGGCCCAUGUACACCGUGUGGUAACGCGCCCAAAUGCAACGCUUUUCGAUCAGCUAGCGGUGAUAGUGAAGAUACCGGCCGCCACCGUUUACAUCGUCACCCGUGGUCUCAUGAUGGUCGUUCGAGCGUUAAACAAGCUGGGCCGUGCAAUGCAGCGGUGAGACUGCGCGGCUAUGUUACGCUGUUGCCCAACGUCCGUAACGUGGAGCAACUCGAAGGAAUAAUAUGGAUCUGGUGCGUAGUAGGCGGUCCGGGCGUUGCGGACUACGACGAAUCGAACCAAAGACGUGACCGAGGCGUGAAUUUAAAUAAAGGCACUAGGCUGUGAGUUUGCUCGCGAGUGUUCGAGCGCUAUCUGAUA